CUAAUUUAAAUAGACUUAGACAUGGUCUAUUUGAAUAUUUGAUGUUUCCAACUUUUGGAGGCAGCCGCAGGAUAUUGCAUUUGGUACAUGCCAUCAAAUGGUGCAAUAUCUGUUUUGGUCUUUUUCAAUUAGAUUUGCAGUAAUGUGUUUGUGAAUGUGUUAUUUAUUCUUUUAUUGGGAACAUGAUAUGCUUGAAUUUGACCAGCUGGAAUCGUCUCCGGCGACUGGAGCAGGGUGACGACAUUUCCUGCCAUUUUAAUCCUUUGCAUGACUUGCUUUUAGGGCAUUGAAAGCGCAACAUACUUUAUCAUUUUUAUUAUUCGUAAAUACUGUAACAAAAUGCUUAUAGAGGAUGUUUAUGACACCUGUACAUUACAGAAGACUCUAAUGUUGUAAAUUAAAGAGGAGAAUAUCCUGAGCCUUGGUCAGCUGUUGAUGUGUGGAUGCUGAGCUGAGUUGUACCAACUACAUUUAAAUCCACAUUUGCCUUUUCCGCACAAAACUAAACUAUGUCUGUAGGUGCAGGUGCAGUAUGUGCCUCAGAAUCACCUUUCAGCCACUGGAUGUUAAUAUUAGAUGCUACAGACCCCGUAACAUCCAGCUGGUAGUUUAUAUUUAGUGAACGCUGCCACUUACUAAACACAAAAUAAACACGUGGGUAAGUUUAGAUGAACAGAUGGUGUAACUGACCUGAGAUCACAUUUGGUUGUGUAUAAAAUUAUGUUGUGUAGACUCAAUUACUGUAGGUUGCUGCACACUACCUAACAUUCUACAGCACAUGCAUGUAUUACAAUAAGCACAUUCACAGAAGGCACCAGUUUUAGAGGCAGCUGAUAUGUUUCGAUAAAUUGACCUCUGUUCCACCAGAAUUGCUCCUUCAUCUGCACGAGUUCAGAGACGUGAACUUUCUGCAGAUUUCAGGCGUCUCAUGCUGCAUUAACAAUAAAAAAAAAAUCCUUUCCAUCAAUAUUUCAUGCACACCCAUUUUUAACUCAACCCUCAUUAGCUAUGUUUUGAUAUACUUCACUUCACCCUCCCCUCGUCUCACGCUCCCAAACACACGAAGCGUGAUGGUAUGCGCUGGAUUAGAAACCAUUCCCCUCACUUAUUAAAAUGAGACAAUGUAUUUAUGAUUGCCCCCGCCUGGUGUGUCUCUCGUCCCUUUGAUCCAUCCUCUCUGCGUCAGUCUCAAAUGUUAGAUAUUCAAAUCUAGUUACAUUUAUUUUUGUUUCCUUUACAGUAGAUAGGCACAUCUGACAGACUGACUAUUAGGUGUUAUUAUUUCCCUUUUUCAACAGACGCCACUUCAUACACUCCGCAUAAACCUUGUUUUGAUUGAGGAGGUUACAACCAUUGUCACGAAGCGUUGGAGGCGGCGUUCUCAUCUCAGGCUGCCAGUCCAACAGCCGUAAAGAAAAACAAGGUGUCAGUUUGGAACCUCAAGCCUCCGACGCCUGACGAGGUUGUCAACCGAUCAGGCCACGUUUUAUUUAUAAAUCCUGCUACAAGGACAUGGAAACAUGCGAGUGUGUUGUCCCAAUGAAAGCAUGUCACACAUUAUUAAUUAAGUAAUGCUUUUGA